rnacentral:lncRNA from 1 species
UAGUUAUUGGUAAGGAAUUGGUCAUGAGAGGUGGUUUCAUUAAUUUUAGGGAGAAUACUUGCUACACAGGGAUUUCUACAAACUGUAAGUAUAAUAACUUGUACUCCCAUGCAUAUACUCAUCGAAAUGACGAGUACAACAUCGAAAGGAAAUAUGGGAAUAGUGUUGGUUGGAAUGUCCUAAGGCCGGGAAAAGGGAUUUGCUAAUAACCUACCUUAGAAUGGACUUAAACGGAAAUUGAUCUUCCUCUUGAAGAUCUAGAAUGAUAACUAGCAUGUUUAAGAAGAUUGGUGCUAUCGGGGACCAAAAGUGAUUGUCCCCUCAGAUGUUCUUCCACCGAGUGCUACCACUAUAGCACCACAUUGCCACUCGAAACAUUUUAAAAUUUUUUACGAUAAGUAAAACUUCCUAGGGAUUUUAAUAGAUGGUAAACUAACGGAUACUGCCAAGGAAUCAAAACUAUUCUUGGUUUCCUAACUCGAAAAGGUUGGUGAUGAUAACGAGAUAAAGGUAAUGGAAUUUAUUGGUAAAUCCCAACUUCGGGGCCAUCAACUUGUCUCAAUUCAGGGUUUUCCUUGCAUGGAUGUUCUCCGUUUAAAGUCUAAAGGUGUUCGCCAAAAUAAUCUUCUAAAAUGUCGAUAAGUUGCCUAAACCCCUUAAAACUUAGGAAAAGUUAACACAUUUUUCGUGCUCAACGAGAUGGCAACAUUCGACAAUCGAGAAUGCUUACAUCACAUGUGUGAUGAACGCAAUACUGCCUAAAUUGAUGCUCUGAUACCAAACCGACACACCCGACCCAGAAUGUCCACCUAGACUCCAAAUCGAGUUGUGUUGGCCGACACCAGGAAGGUGACAAAGUCAUAAAGUGUAGUGAUGUGGAAAAUGUGAAUAAAUUUAAACCUAAAAGUGCCUAAAUAUAAGAGUGC